AGAUUGAUUUAGCUGCCCUCCUCUGUGUGUGUUCCCCUUAAAGCUUCAUGCUUAGUCAAGGAUGGCAGCCUUCACUGAAUAGAGAUUGAUUCGUCUUUGGUCAGAAGUAUAGGAGAAGCCACACUCUCCUUCUAGACCCUUCAAACAAGCCUGCUAAAGGUAUUUUUGUUGUUGUUGUUGUUAUGGUGGUGGUGUUGGUGAUGGUGGCUGCUGCUUCUCCGUGCGCGCGCGUGCGUGCGCGCGCGCGCGUGUGU
rnacentral:snRNA from 1 species